GACCUCGUGGCGCAACGGUAGCGCGUCCUGACUCCAGAUCAGAAGGCUGCGUGUUCGAAUCAACGUCAAGGGGUCA
rnacentral:tRNA from 1 species